rnacentral:rRNA from 1 species
GACGAACGCUGGCGGCGUGCUUAACACAUGCAAGUCGAACGGAAAGGCCCUGCUUUUGUGGGGUGCUCGAGUGGCGAACGGGUGAGUAACACGUGAGUAACCUGCCCUUGACUUUGGGAUAACUUCAGGAAACUGGGGCUAAUACCGGAUAGGAGCUCCUGCUGCAUGGUGGGGGUUGGAAAGUUCCGGCGGUUGGGGCUGGACUCGCGGCUUAUCAGCUUGUUGGUGGGGUAGUGGCUUACCAAGGCUUUGACGGGUAGCCGGCCUGAGAGGGUGACCGGCCACAUUGGGACUGAGAGACGGCCCAGACUCCUACGGGAGGCAGCAGGGGGGAAUAUUGCACAAUGGGCGGAAGCCUGAUGCAGCAACGCCGCGUGCGGGAUGACGGCCUUCGGGGUGUAAACCGCUUUCGCAUGUGACGAAGCGGGAGUGACGGUAAUGGGUAAAGAAGCACCGGCUAACUACGUG